GAUGAACGCUGGCGGCGUGCCUAAUACAUGCAAGUCGAGCGAACGGACGAGAAGCUUGCUUCUCUGAUGUUAGCGGCGGACGGGUGAGUAACACGUGGAUAACCUACCUAUAAGACUGGGAUAACUUCGGGAAACCGGAGCUAAUACCGGAUAAUAUUUUGAACCGCAUGGUUCAAAAGUAAAAGACGGUCUUGCUGUCACUUAUAGAUGGAUCCGCGCUGCAUUAGCUAGUUGGUAAGGUAACGGCUUACCAAGGCAACGAUGCAUAGCCGACCUGAGAGGGUGAUCGGCCACACUGGAACUGAGGCACGGUCCAGACUCCUACGGGAGGCAGCAGUAGGGAAUCUUCCGCAAUGGGCGAAAGCCUGACGGAGCAACGCCGCGUGAGUGAUGAAGGUCUUCGGAUCGUAAAACUCUGUUAUUAGGGAAGAACAUAUGUGUAAGUAACUGUGCACAUCUUGACGGUACCUAAUCAGAAAGCCACGGCUAACUACGUGCCAGCAGCCGCGGUAAUACGUAGGUGGCAAGCGUUAUCCGGAAUUAUUGGGCGUAAAGCGCGCGUAGGCGGUUUUUUAAGUCUGAUGUGAAAGCCCACGGCUCAACCGUGGAGGGUCAUUGGAAACUGGAAAACUUGAGUGCAGAAGAGGAAAGUGGAAUUCCAUGUGUAGCGGUGAAAUGCGCAGAGAUAUGGAGGAACACCAGUGGCGAAGGCGACUUUCUGGUCUGUAACUGACGCUGAUGUGCGAAAGCGUGGGGAUCAAACAGGAUUAGAUACCCUGGUAGUCCACGCCGUAAACGAUGAGUGCUAAGUGUUAGGGGGUUUCCGCCCCUUAGUGCUGCAGCUAACGCAUUAAGCACUCCGCCUGGGGAGUACGACCGCAAGGUUGAAACUCAAAGGAAUUGACGGGGACCCGCACAAGCGGUGGAGCAUGUGGUUUAAUUCGAAGCAACGCGAAGAACCUUACCAAAUCUUGACAUCCUUUGACAACUCUAGAGAUAGAGCCUUCCCCUUCGGGGGACAAAGUGACAGGUGGUGCAUGGUUGUCGUCAGCUCGUGUCGUGAGAUGUUGGGUUAAGUCCCGCAACGAGCGCAACCCUUAAGCUUAGUUGCCAUCAUUAAGUUGGGCACUCUAAGUUGACUGCCGGUGACAAACCGGAGGAAGGUGGGGAUGACGUCAAAUCAUCAUGCCCCUUAUGAUUUGGGCUACACACGUGCUACAAUGGACAAUACAAAGGGCAGCGAAACCGCGAGGUCAAGCAAAUCCCAUAAAGUUGUUCUCAGUUCGGAUUGUAGUCUGCAACUCGACUACAUGAAGCUGGAAUCGCUAGUAAUCGUAGAUCAGCAUGCUACGGUGAAUACGUUCCCGGGUCU
rnacentral:rRNA from 1 species